AGUGAUAUUGCUGGAUCAUAUGGUACUUCUAUUUUUUGAGGAAUUUCCAGAAUGUUUUCCAUAACGGCUAUACCAAUUUACAUUCCAAUCAAC
rnacentral:pre_miRNA from 1 species